AACUAACUCGUGUCUUGUUGUUAUGCAUUCAGGGCACUGAGCUUGAAUAAGUCAUAAUGACUCUCGGCAACGGAUAUCUCGGCUCUCGGAUCGAUGAAGAACGUAGCGAAAUGCGAUACGUGGUGUGAAUUGCAGGAUCCCGUGAACCAUCGAGUUUUUGAACGCAAGUUGCGCCCGAAGCCGUCAGGCCGAGGGCACGUCUGCCUGGGCGUCACGCA
rnacentral:rRNA from 1 species